AGGAUUCCCCUAGUAACUGCGAGUGAAGCGGGAAAAGCUCAAAUUUAAAAUCUGGCGGUCUCUGGCCGUCCGAGUUGUAGUCUGGAGAAGUGCUUUCCGCGCUGGACCGUGUAUAAGUCUCUUGGAACAGAGCGUCAUAGAGGGUGAGAAUCCCGUCUUUGACACGGACUACCAGUGCUUUGUGAUGCGCUCUCAAAGAGUCGAGUUGUUUGGGAAUGCAGCUCAAAAUGGGUGGUGAAUUCCAUCUAAAGCUAAAUAUUGGCGAGAGACCGAUAGCGAACAAGUACCGUGAGGGAAAGAUGAAAAGCACUUUGGAAAGAGAGUUAAACAGUACGUGAAAUUGCUGAAAGGGAAACGCUUGAAGUCAGUCGCGUUGUCCGGAACUCAGCCUUGCUUUUGCUUGGUGCACUUUCCGGAUGACGGGUCAGCAUCGAUUUUGACCGUCGGAAAAGGGNUGGAGUAAUGUGGCACCUCCGGGUGUGUUAUAGACUCKGGUCGCAUACGGCGGUUGGGAUCGAGGAACGCAGCGCGCCGCAAGGCAGGGGUUCGCCCACUUUCGCGCUUAGGAUGCUGGCAUAAUGGCUUUAAACGACCCGUCUUGAAACACGGACCAAGGAGUCUAACAUACCUGCAAGUGUUUGGGUGGUAAACCCGAGCGCGUAAUGAAAGUGAAAGUUGAGAUCCCUGUCGUGGGGAGCAUCGACGCCCGGACCAGACGUUCUCUGACGGAUCCGCGGUAGAGCAUGUAUGUUGGGACCCGAAAGAUGGUGAACUAUGCCUGAAUAGGGUGAAGCCAGAGGAAACUCUGGUGGAGGCUCGUAGCGAUUCUGACGUGCAAAUCGAUCGUCAAAUUUGGGUAUAGGGGCGAAAGACUAAUCGAACCAU
rnacentral:rRNA from 1 species